rnacentral:lncRNA from 1 species
GCGGAGACAAGUUCAAAAAAGUGUAUAAUAUCAUAAUAUCUCCAAUUUUAUUAUAUUGAUCGACACGUUGAGAGGAUUUGUGAGGGAAAAUAAACCCCAAUGAAGAGAAUGUCACGAGAAGGCACGACCUGUUGAACCUCCGUCAUCAUUUAAACGCUUUAUUAGGUGUUUUUUUUUUUUUUUUUUUUUUUUCGUCGAGUUUGCGAUCUGACUGCAGUCCGGUCGGUCUCGAGAGGGAGGCGCGAGACGGGCGCUAGUUGAGUUGAGUCGAGUUGAAGCGUCGAGGCGAGGCGAGGCGGGGGCGGGGAGCGCGCGGUGCGCUCUCGCGCCAAUGAGGGCAUCCCGGGCUUGGCAGGAACGCGUCCACGUGACCGUGGAGAGCACCGACACACGCCGGCGGGGCUCCUUCUCAAACACACCGCCGACAGGAGGAGAAGCGCGAAGGGGAGCGAGCGACAGAGAAGACGUCCACGGUGACACACACUCGUCCACACACCUCCUCGACGUGCAGAAGAUGGACGGCUACACGCGCACCGAAGACGAGCUCUUCCCCUCAUGCCUGCUCACCUCCACCUGGGAGAACCCCCACCACGAGCAGCCUGGGACUCUCAGUGGACCACAACCCUGCACUACACCAACAGGUAGACUCUUGUUUGUGCUGUGCAACAUGUUCUUGUUAGCAUGAAGAUCAGGGACAGAGGGAUUCUGAUAUAUCCACAUGGCUUGAUGUUUCC